UUUGGGGUUGUUGGCUAGCCUCUCCCAGGACCCUGUAGCGAGAAAAUUACUACGCGUAGAGCCCAAGAGCACCGCCACUAAUUUUUAAGGCCCGCCAGACGGCGAAGCCCAACACCUAGCCAGGCUAGAUUGGUAUAAAUGACGCUCGAACAGGCAUGCCCCCCGGAAUACCAGGGGGCGCAAUGUGCGUUCAAAGAUUCGAUGAUUCACUGAAUUCUGCAAUUCACAUUACUUAUCGCAUUUCGCUGCGUUCUUCAUCGAUGCCAGAACCAAGAGAUCCGUUGUUGAAAGUUUUAACUAUUUAAUAGUACUCAGACGACACUAACAUUCAGAGUUUAGGGGUCCUCUGGCGGGCACGCUAGACGCGGAUCUAGGCGCACGAGGCGCGGCCCGCCAGAGCAACAUUCUAUAAUGAUACACAAGGGUGGGAGAUCUACCCCGAAGGGCAUGAACUCUGUAAUGAUCCUU
rnacentral:misc_RNA from 1 species